GUCUGGCUGGCAGAGUUCUCCCAUCUUUUUAGUCCAACUUUGCUUGUUAGAAAUGCACUAGUUUCUUUUUGUACUCAACCUUUGAUGGGUAAGAUCUCGCUGGUUGUUUGGACUGCUUGUUUUUUCCUUGGAGCACAAUUGCAGCCAGGUUGUCACACUGCUUCGGCUUUACACAACUCCCCAGGAGGUUAAUUCAGCCACUUUGUGUGCAAAAACUGCCACAAUGAUCAUCAGGCUGGGCAGACUGACUCCUGGAUACUUCUGUCUCCUGCAGAGGCAGGUAGCAGGUAGCAGGUGAGGUGCAGGCCCCAACACACGACCGCUCCGUCAACCAAAUCGCUAUGAUGCUGGCCAUCAUUUGCCUUGGCUUGUCCUACUACAGUGCCAAGCAGAUGACAGAAAAGGUACGCCAAGAGCCUGCCCCAUGAAGAUGCACCUAGCUCCGGUUUGUUGGUAUCUGGAGAAGACAUAUCCAAAUUGGAGACGGAGAUAGAAGUUGACUGAACACAGAUAUGUCUAGCUAUGCUAGCUCUAUUGAAUGCAUUGUUGCAUUCCAAAAUGUGUCACCAUGCAAUUCAUAACACAGUGCUAGUACCUGUUGCAUUCUCCACAUUGCCACAAAGGAUGCUAUAGCAGGCUUUAGCAUAAACACAGAUGUGUCUAGCUAUACUCGCUCUACCCUUCCA